GGCUGUUCAGGUGGCAUAUGAACAAAAUCUAUGAAUUUGCUCCAGAUGCAAUUGAGUAUUUUGACCAAUAGCAUGGCAGAAUAUGGUAUAGGUGUGGCUUCUUAGAGGAGAGCAAGUGUGACUACUUGAGAAAUAAUGUUUCUAAAAGUUUCAAUGCUCAGAUUAAGCAGUUCAAGGGACUUCAUAUACAUGCGCUUGUGGAUAGACUGAGGGAGUUAAUAAUGGUGAAAAGGUACCUUAGAAAGAAGAUAGCAGAGUAGUGGCAAGAAGGCAUACUACCUAGUGUUAUCAAGGAAUUGAACCUGAUUAGCAAAAAUCUUAAAGUUGUCAAGGUUGCAGUAAGUGAUCCAGACUUUGUAGAGGUGACUAUAAUUGAUGAUUGGAAUAACCAUAAAAGAUGCAUAGUGGACCUGAAGAAUCACAAGUGCAGCUGCAGGGAAUGGCAGAUUAAUAGGAAGCCAUGCAAGCAUGCGUUGGCCUAGAUACUUUUGAACAAAGGCAUCAAAAUUGCAGAUUAUAUGCAUGAAUAUUACUCUAUUGCUAGAUUCAAAGUUGUAUAUGAAUGAAGAAUUGAGCCUAUGCCAGAUAGAACACGGUGGCCUAAUUUUUAGCUUGGGUUCAAAGUGCAUCCACCUUUGCUUGGUAGAGGAGCAGGCAGGCCAAAGACCCAAAGGAUAAGGGUUUGUCUAGAGAAAUAAGCUAGCAAGAAGAAAGUAAGGUGCAAAAGAUGCAGAGGAUUUGGUCACUUCUCCAAGACAUGCAAGCUAGAGAUGGUAGGUGAAGAUGGUGAGACCGCUAAAUCAAAGAAAGGAAGAGGCAAGAUGAAGGUGAUGCUGGUGGGCCAUGCAAGAAGCCAGCAAAGAAGAAGACACCUAAGAAGAAGAAGACUCCUAAGAAGAAGAAGACCCCAUUGAAGAAGAAGCAAAAUAAAGAUGCAAGUGCUCCACGACCAAAAGUGGUUCGAAGCCUCAAGGAUUUAUUGUCUUAAGGAAAACACACUUAUUGGGGCCUGUCAGUUUGUUGCUUGUAAUACAAGUUGGGUGACUGUGAACUUCUCAACUUGUAAUAUAUGAUGGUCGACAUGGCUAUGAUGUAGCCUGUGCACUUUUUUGAACUUGUAGUAGCCUAAGCACUUUCUGAAUUUGUAGUUGCUUGUGCACUUUCUGAACUUGUGUCUGAGCACACAGUUGAACUUGUAA